ACAAAUACGAAAACAUCAUAAAGAAGAUGAAAUGAAUGUCCUUGCCUGUAUUAUUCAAAUGCAAAAGAAAUACUCAUAUCACAAUGAAAGGAGGCAACAACAUGGGAAUAAAUUUUCCUUUAAAUUGGAAGACACAGUGGCUUAUGCCACAAAUGAAAUAAAUUUCACAGGAGAAGAAAACAUUAUGGCUGGCUCAUCUUACAGUGGAAUCACAGUGACAUUAGCAGGAGUGUGACUGACAUAAGGCAGCAAGUUGUCCCAAUAGCUCAAACAAAAUGGGCUCAAUUUUA